GGAAUUCUGAGCUUUGUGUUUUCAAGACCCCAAAGAACUCCUAUGGGAGUGUCUCAUCUCUUUUCUCCCCUGAUUAUAUCUCAUUCUCAGAAUCUCCCUUCUUAUCUUGUUCCUAAAGGAAUUUCAGUAUUUCUAAUCUCGAGUAUGUCAGCCUAGUGUUUACUUUAGUCUAGACUGAGAAUCUGGUUGAGCUGAAAUGCAACCCCUCAUUCAGACCUUCUCUUUCUUCACAUUGUUCCAUGUCAUUCCUGAGGUUUGUCCAAAUGAGAAAGUAUCUUGGAAGAAGAGAAAAGCUCACAAGGUACUCGGGAGAAAAGCAGUAUUAUUGGUGAUCCUAGACCAACUGCCACCUUAAAAGCAAAUGCUUAUGAUCCCAUAUUUGCCAACAGCACUAUCCUAUAUCACUGCUCACCAGCCUGAACUCUGUAGAGUAUCUAGGAAUUCAUAGAGGUUUUUUUUUUCCAGUGCUAGGGGCUCAAAUCCAGGACCUCCUACAUGUAAGGCUCCUCUGGACCAGAUCAGCACACAUUACCAAUAAAAUACCCCCAUCUGACCUUGAUGAACUUCCAUUGCUGCUCAUCUAAGGGAUAGGAUUUCAAGCCUCCAGCCUGAUUGUUGCG
rnacentral:lncRNA from 1 species